UACGUAGGUGGCAAGCGUUGUCCGGAAUUAUUGGGCGUAAAGCGCGCGCAGGCGGUCCUUUACGUCUGAUGUGAAAGCCCACGGCUCAACCGUGGAGGGUCAUUGGAAACUGGAGGACUUGAGUACAGAAGAGGAAAGCGGAAUUCCACGUGUAGCGGUGAAAUGCGUAGAGAUGUGGAGGAACACCAGUGGCGAAGGCGGCUUUCUGGUCUGUAACUGACGCUGAGGCGCGAAAGCGUGGGGAGCAAACAGG
rnacentral:rRNA from 1 species